UACGGAGGGUGCGAGCGUUGUCCGGAAUCAUUGGGCGUAAAGGGCGCGUAGGUGGCCUGCUAAGCGUGCGGUGAAAGCUCGGGGCUCAACCCCGAGUCGGCCGUGCGAACUGGUGGGCUUGAGCACUGUAGAGGCAGGCGGAAUUCCUGGUGUAGCGGUGAAAUGCGCAGAUAUCAGGAGGAACACCGGUGGCGAAGGCGGGUCUCUGGGCAACAACGUGACGCUGAGGAGCGAAAGCGUGGGGAGCGAACAGG
rnacentral:rRNA from 1 species